AACGAACGCUGGCGGCAGGCCUAACACAUGCAAGUCGAACGCACCGCAAGGUGAGUGGCGCACGGGUGAGUAACACGUGGGAAUGUAUCCUUUGGUUCGGAAUAACGUUUGGAAACGAACGCUAAUACCGGAUGAGCCCUGUGGGGGAAAGAUUUAUCGCCAAAGGAGCAGCCCGCGUCUGAUUAGGUAGUUGGUGGGGUAAUGGCCUACCAAGCCGACGAUCAGUAGCUGGUCUGAGAGGAUGAUCAGCCACACUGGGACUGAGACACGGCCCAGACUCCUACGGGAGGCAGCAGUGGGGAAUAUUGGACAAUGGGCGCAAGCCUGAUCCAGCCAUGCCGCGUGAGUGAUGAAGGCCUUCGGGUUGUAAAGCUCUUUCGCACACGACGAUGAUGACGGUAGUGUGAGAAGAAGCCCCGGCUAACUUCGUGCCAGCAGCCGCCGCCGUAA
rnacentral:rRNA from 1 species